CACUGGAGAAACCUUUGUGACUUCUGUGGAUCAAGGACCAAGAAUGUGGAAAAUCCCAUCUAGGUUUUCCUUAUGAUCCCCUCCCAUCUGGACCUUGUUUUCCCACAAUCUUUGGUUUUCCCUUUGGAAAAGACAUGUGCCUUUCCCUUCAGCAACCUUGUGGGAUGGAGCUGACCCCGUGCAGAAGUGUUGGAUGUUGCUGAGGUGCAGGUGGGCACCUUGUCAAGACUGGGAAUGAAGAUGAGCAGGCAAGAAUGCUGUCAGGAUAUAAUCCUGGUGUGGAAGUGACCCUGCCUCAUCCAUCAUCACAGCUCACCAUGGGCAGAAGGGGAGAAGUUCAAAGAAGGGAUGCAGGGAAGAUAAAACAUGAGUAGGUCAGGACUUCUUGUCCUUGGAAAGAGG